AUGCACAUUGUGCUAUGCCUCUCCCCUACCACAGCUGGGGAUUGUCCCACCCCACCCCUUACUCCACACAAGGGAGGGAGAAAGUGCUCCUAUUAUGCUGCUGGAUGGAGGGGCCUGAGAUGUGAAAAAAAUUUCUUCAGGCAUGGUGGAGAGAGAGAGAGGGGAGUAGCUCGACCUGAGUCCCUCUGCUUUUCUAGUAAUGAACUCAGGGGUUGGGAGGGAGGAAGGUUGGCCAAAUACCUACAGAGAUUGUUCUGUAUGCCAUCUUUGGCAUCUGUGCCAUAGGUUUACCAUCACUGUACUAGAGCAUAAAGGAGAUAUUAGGAAGUGUCAACAAUGUUUUUUAAAAGCAUCACUAAGAUAUUUGUUCUAUAAUUUAUCCUACUAACUGUGCAGAGAAUGGGUGGGAGAAGAAAGAGAUUUGAAGUACAGUUAGGAAAGGAAAAGUUUGUUAGGAGCUUAAGUAAAGUGAGGAUUCUAUGACUAGAAAAAAAGUGACCAAUGCUUUGCAUAUGUAAAAUGGAUAAGAUUUUGCAGCUAAUUGGAUAUUCAGGAUCAUGGAGGGUAAACAAGGGGCUGAGGAUGACUCCUAGGAUGGGAGCCUGGCAAUGCCUUUAGCAAGAAUUGUUAUGUUUGGAGAAGGUAUUGGGUUAGGAGGAAAGAAAGAAGAAAAUAUAGUUCACACCUCUCCAAACAAAGGUACUCUACAAAUGUGGGUGUAUGCAUCAAAAUAUUUCUUGGACCUAACAAUUUUUAGGAGUUUACAGGGGAAAAAAUGUUAUAUGAAUAGACUGUGUGAUCUGAAUAAUCUUGUCCUUAAAAAAAAAAAAAAACAACUUGUCCUAUUUAGAGAGUUUGACAGAGCCUGAUGAGACUCUUAAAGCAUCAGAAUAGAGUAGAAGCUGAUCAUGACUCAUGUCAGUUAUACAGAGUUUCUGUAUAUUGUUAGUCACCUAGUAUUUAACAAGGUGUGAAUGCUGAUCCUGAAAAGAUAAAAGUACUUUUCACCUGGGUAUGCCCAAAGACUUUUCAAGAGCUGAAGAUAUUUUGAGGAUCCAGGGACCGCUACUGACAAUUUUCGAAGAACUCAGACAUCAGUACAAAGCCGUUCAGGGAUUUCACCCAUAAGCACAUGAUUGAGAAUUAUUAAAAGAAGGAAAGAGAGAGGAAGCAAUCUGGUCCAAUCCUCUGGCCUCAUUUGAAGAUCACUGGAAUGAGAAAUGUGAUCAGCCCUUUAAGGACUUGCUGCUUUACAUGCAUUCUAGGGCUGACUUUGAAUGCCACC
rnacentral:lncRNA from 1 species